CCUGAAACCCCACCUCUUUAAGGAAUACCUAGGAUAGGAUAAAGCAGAGCAGGCAACAGAUGGCACACAGACAGCAGAGUUGGGGACAGAUAUGCAGGGACAGACUGGCAGAGACAGGGAGUCUCAGGACCUGAGCCCUAGGACCAUGCCUCAGGACUACCUGGUAUGAUGACUCCUUGCUGUCCCCAGUCCACCUGGCCGUGCUGCUGCUCCAGUUUCAACUGUUCUGCCUGCGGCUAUGGAACCCUGACCUGUUCACCGGACGUGCUUGUUGCACCCUCGACAACUAUUAUGAUUAUUAUUAUUUGACCAUGCUGGUCAUUUAUGAACAUUUUAACAUCUUGACCAUGUUCUGUUAUAAUAUCCACCCUGCACAGCCAGAAGAGGACUGGCCACCCCUCAUAGCCUGG
rnacentral:lncRNA from 1 species